rnacentral:piRNA from 1 species
UGCAUAUUGUUCUAUGUGGCCUUGAAAGU